rnacentral:rRNA from 1 species
UUGAACGCUGGCGGCAGGCCUCACACAUGCACGUCGAACGGUAACAGGAAGCAGCUUGCUGCUUCGCUGACGAGUGGCGGACGGGUGAGUAAUGUCUGGGAAGCUGCCUGAUGGAGGGGGAUAACUACUGGAAACGGUAGCUAAUACCGCAUAAUGUCGCAAGACCAAAGAGGGGGACCUUCGGGCCUCUUGCCAUCGGAUGUGCCCAGAUGGGAUUAGCUUGUUGGUGGGGUAACGGCUCACCAAGGCGACGAUCCCUAGCUGGUCUGAGAGGAUGACCAGCCACACUGGAACUGAGACACGGUCCAGACUCCUACGGGAGGCAGCAGUGGGGAAUAUUGCACAAUGGGCGCAAGCCUGAUGCAGCCAUGCCGCGUGUAUGAAGAAGGCCUUCGGGUUGUAAAGUACUUUCAGCGGGGAGGAAGGGAGUAAAGUUAAUACCUUUGCUCAUUGACGUUACCCGCAGAAGAAGCACCGGCUAACUCCGUG